rnacentral:rRNA from 1 species
UACAGAGGUCUCAAGCGUUGUUCGGAUUCAUUGGGCGUAAAGGGUGCGUAGGCGGCGGGGUAAGUCUGAUGUGAAAUCCCGGGGCUCAACCCCGGAACUGCAUUGGAUACUGCCUUGCUUGAGUACUGGAGAGGAGACUGGAAUUUACGGUGUAGCAGUGAAAUGCGUAGAGAUCGUAAGGAAGACCAGUGGCGAAGGCGAGUUUCUGGACAGCUACUGACGCUGAGGCACGAAGGCCAGGGGAGCAAACGGG